UGCAUAUCAAUAAGCGGAGGAAAAGAAACCAACCGGGAUUGCCUCAGUAACGGCGAGUGAAGCGGCAACAGCUCAAAUUUGAAAGCCCGCGGGCGUUGUAAUUUGCAGGCGGAUGUUUUGGGGCGGGCGCUGUCUACGUUCCUUGGAACAGGACGCCGCAGAGGGUGAGAGCCCCGUGCGAUGGCGCCUCCAACCGCGUAAAACUCCGCCGACGAGUCGAGUUGUUUGGGAAUGCAGCUCCAAGUGGGUGGUAAAUUCCAUCUAAAGCUAAAUACUGGCGAGAGACCGAUAGCGAACAAGUACAGUGAUGGAAAGAUGAAAAGCACUUUGAAAAGAGAGUGAAACAGCACGUGAAAUUGUUGAAAGGGAAGGGUAUGCGAUUAGCGGCCAGCAGGAGGUGCCUUCUCGUGAAAAGGCCGUGCACCGUCUUCGGACACCGUGCGCGGAGAUGGCGAGGGGGCGCCUGAGGUCUGCGACUCGAGUGC
rnacentral:rRNA from 1 species